AUACUUACCUAACAGGGGAAAUACCAUGAUUACAAAGGUAGCUGCUCAGGGUGAGGUUUAUCCAUUGUACUCUAGGUGUGCUGCUGGUCCCUGUGAUUUCCCCAAAUGUGGGAAGCUAAGCUGCAUGACUUCUGGUAGUGGGGAACUGUGUUCUGGUUUCCCCUAU
ensembl:snRNA U1 U1 spliceosomal RNA